UACGAGAGGCCCAAACGUUAUUCGGAUUUACUGGGCUUAAAGAGUUCGUAGGCGGUCCGUCAAGUGAGGUGUGAAAGCCCUCGGCUCAACCGAGGAAUUGCGCUCUAAACUACUGUGCUUGAGGGACCUAGAGGUGAGCGGAACUGAUGGUGGAGCGGUGAAAUGCGUUGAUAUCAUCAGGAACACCGGAGGCGAAGGCGGCUCACUGGGGGUCUUCUGACGCUGAGGAACGAAAGCCAGGGGAGCGAACGGG
rnacentral:rRNA from 1 species